rnacentral:rRNA from 1 species
AGUGAACGCUGGCGGUAGGCCUAACACAUGCAAGUCGAACGGCAGCACAGUAAGAGCUUGCUCUUACGGGUGGCGAGUGGCGGACGGGUGAGGAAUACAUCGGAAUCUACUUUUUCGGGGGGGAUAACGUAGGGAAACUUACGCUAAUACCGCAUACGACCUACGGGUGAAAGCAGGGGAUAUUCUGACCUUGCGCGAAUGGAUGAGCCGAUGUCGGAUUAGCUAGUUGGCGGGGUAAAGGCCCACCAAGGCGACGAUCCGUAGCUGGUCUGAGAGGAUGAUCAGCCACACUGGAACUGGGACACGGUCCAGACUCCUACGGGAGGCAGCAGUGGGGAAUAUUGGACAAUGGGCGCAAGCCUGAUCCAGCCAUACCGCGUGUGUGAAGAAGGCCUUCGGGUUGUAAAGCCCUUUUGUUGGGAAAGAAAAGCAGCAGGUUAAUACCCCGCUGUUCUGACGGUACCCAAAGAGUAAGCACCGGCUAACUUCGUG